UCCCUAGUGGUUCAGAUGGUAAAGCAUCUGCCUACAGUGCAGGAGACCUGGGUUCAAUCCCUGGCUCAGGGA
rnacentral:tRNA from 1 species